UACGUAGGUGACAAGCGUUGUCCGGAUUUACUGGGCGUAAAGGGCGCGUAGGCGGCGUGGUAAGUCAGUUGUGAAAUCUCCGAGCUUAACUCGGAACGGCCAACUGAUACUGCUGUGCUAGAGUGCAGAAGGGGCAAUCAGAAUUCUUGGUGUAGCGGUGAAAUGCGUAGAUAUCAAGAGGAAUACCUGAGGUGAAGACGGGUUGCUAGGCUGACACUGACGCUGAGGCGCGAAAGCCAGGGGGAGCAAACAGG
rnacentral:rRNA from 1 species